AUUGAACGCUGGCGGCAGGCCUAACACAUGCAAGUCGAGCGAGCGGCGGACGGGGGAGUAAUGUCUGGGAAACUGCGUGAUGGAGGGGGAUAUCUCCUGGAAACGGUAGCUAAUACAGCAUAUCACCAGAUGUGCCCAGAUGGGAUUAGCUAGUAGUGGGGGUAAGGGCUCACCUAGGCGACGAUCCCUAGCUGGUCUGAGAGGAUGACCAGCCACACUGGAACUGAGACACGGUCCAGACUCCUACGGGAGGCAGCAGUGGGGAAUAUUGCACAAUGGGCGCAAGCCUGAUGCAGCCAUGCCGCGUGUGUGAAGAAGGCCUUCGGGUUGUAAAGCACUUUCAGCGGGGAGGCGUUACCCGCAGAAGAAGCACCGGCUAACUCCGUGCCAGCAGCCGCGGUAAUUC
rnacentral:rRNA from 1 species